CUAAUACAUGCAAGUCGAACGAAUCUCUUUUAGAGAUAAGUGGCGAACGGGUGAGUAAUACAUAGGUAACCUGCCCCUGUGCGGGGGAUAACAGGAGGAAACUCCUGCUAAUACCGCAUAGCCAUGAGCACCGCAUGGAGCUCAUGCCAAAUAUCCUUUCGGGGAUAGCGCAGGGAUGGACCUAUGGCGCAUUAGCUUGUUGGCGGGGCAACGGCCCACCAAGGCAACGAUGCGUAGCCGGCCUGAGAGGGCGGACGGCCACAUUGGGACUGAGACACGGCCCAGACUCCUACGGGAGGCAGCAGUAGGGAAUUUUCGGCAAUGGGGGAAACCCUGACCGAGCAACGCCGCGUGAGCGAAGAAGGCCUUCGGGUCGUAAAGCUCUGUUGUAAAGGAAGAACGGCGCAUACAGGAAAUGGUAUGCGAGUGACGGUACUUUACCAGAAAGCCACGGCUAACUACGUGCCAGCAGCCGCGGUAAUACGUAGGUGGCGAGCGUUAUCCGGAAUCAUUGGGCGUAAAGAGGGAGCAGGCGGCCGCAAGGGUCUGUGGUGAAAGACCGAAGCUAAACUUCGGUAAGCCAUGGAAACCGGGCGGCUAGAGUGCGGAAGAGGAUCGUGGAAUUCCAUGUGUAGCGGUGAAAUGCGUAGAUAUAUGGAGGAACACCAGUGGCGAAGGCGACGGUCUGGGCCGCAACUGACGCUCAUUCCCGAAAGCGUGGGGAGCAAAUAGGAUUAGAUACCCUAGUAGUCCACGCCGUAAACGAUGGUCACUAAGUGUCGGGGGUCAAACCCCGGUGCUGCAGUCAACGCAAUAAGUGACCCGCCUGAGUAGUACGUUCGCAAGAAUGA
rnacentral:rRNA from 1 species